rnacentral:tRNA from 1 species
GCAAGGAUGUGCACAGGUGAGUCAGCUUCCCAAGCUGACAGUGGGGGUUCGAUUCCCCUCACCCGCUCCA